CCAAUAACUGGAAGACACCGAGCUCCGAAGAUCAGCAAUCCUGGAACGACACACUGAGGGCCAGAAGAGAAGAAAGAAAAAAACGAAGCGCGUCCAAGAACGGAGGCAGACACCGAAGACAACGAGAUCGAAGAGACUGGCCGAGUUGAAGAGCGGCGUCACCAUCUUCUGUGUAACUAGAUUUACACCUCAUGGACAACAAUUUAUGGUGCAUCUUGGGCACUAGAGAAGGCCAAGGGUGACCUACUGCAGCACGACACGAGUUCCAUACAGACCCAUGCUGGAGGCCACGUGUCGUGUUGGUGCUCUACAUGUUCACCGUAGGUGUUAUCUGCGGCUGGAUCAUCCGGGGCUACAGCGCAACUAGUUCGCAGAUAACGAUAAACAUCUUCCAGCAAAGUGAAGCCGGCUAUCUCCAGACGCCAAGCUCCAGUGCAGGCUCCACAAGCACAGCCCCCUAGAAGACGGAACAGCGGAGAGAGAAGACAAAUCAUAUUCGGGAGAAUGUUCAAGCAGCUCUACCCUCCCCGCAAACCGCUCGAGCACCUGCAAGGAAGAAAAUGCGCUAUCACCUGCUGAUGUUGCCGCUCGGAAGGCAUAACCACUCGGGGACACGACGAUGACUAGCCGCAUUUUUUAUUGAUUAAUCUGGCAUUUCGCUCGCUUUCUUUCUUUAUAUCUUUGCGUUAUUAUUAUUAAAGCUUCUUUCUCUGUGAAAAUACACUGCAAGUGUCGCACGUG